GACGAACGCUGGCGGCGUGCUUAACACAUGCAAGUCGAACGGAAAGGCCCUGCUUUUGUGUGGUGCUCGAGUGGCGAACGGGUGAGUAACACGUGAGUAACCUGCCCUUGACUUUGGGAUAACUUCAGGAAACUGGGGCUAAUACCGGAUAGGAGCUCCUGCUGCAUGGUGGGGGUUGGAAAGUUUCGGCGGUUGGGGAUGGACGCGCGGCUUAUCAGCUUGUUGGUGGGGUAGUGGCUUACCAAGGCUUUGACGGGUAGCCGGCCUGAGAGGGUGACCGGCCACAUUGGGACUGAGAUACGGCCCAGACGCCUACGGGAGGCAGCAGUGGGGAAUAUUGCACAAUGGGCGGAAGCCUGAUGCAGCAACGCCGCGUGCGGGAUGACGGCCUUCGGGUGGUAAACCGCUUUCGCCUGUGACGAAGCGUGAGUGACGGUAAUGGGUAAAGAAGCACCGGCUAACUACGU
rnacentral:rRNA from 1 species